AUGGAUUAGAACAUCGAACUAUGAAGACAUCCCCAGUGCAAUACAGUAUUUAGCAGCUUUGCCGUAUAGGUUUGCCAUUUAAAGCUUUGGAGAGGAGAGUAAGGUUAUUAUAAUCACAGUGUAGAACUGCUCAUAUUGUGCUGUCCUUCCCCUGUAUGUUACAAGAAAUGCAACGAGACUGAGGAUGGAAACUGGAAGUAACAUCAGACUUGUUUCAGGAGACCUUUGGCCCCAUUCUCUAAUGCUUGGGCAUUAGAUAGGCAUUUGCGCUUAUGUGGCUGUAAGUAAUGUCCAG
rnacentral:lncRNA from 1 species